rnacentral:lncRNA from 1 species
AUGGGGCCGAUUCCAGCUGGAAUUGGGUUUUGGGGGUUUUUCCAGCUGUUUUGGGUGCGUUUUUGGAUCUCCCAGCCCCUUUUUUGCCCCUUUUUUGCCCCAUUUUCUGCCCCCAACUUUCAGGUACCAGUUCCUGGAGGACGCGGUGAGGAACCAACGCAAGAUGCUGGCCACGCUGGUCAAACGCUUGGGCGACAAACACGCCAGCCUCCAGCGCUCCACCAAGGAAGUGCGCAGCUCCAUCCGGCAGGUGACGGACGUGCAGAAGCGGGUGCAGGUGGACGUCAAGAUGGCCAUCCUGCAGAUCAUGAAGGAGCUCAACAAACGCGGCAAGGUGCUGGUGAGCGACGCCCAGAAGGUGACGGAGGGGCAGCAGGAGAAGCUGGAGAGGCAGCACUGGGCCAUGACCAAGCUGCAGAGGCACCAGGAGCACGUCCUGCGCUUCACCUCCUGGGCCCUGGAGAGCGACAACAGCACGGCCCUGCUGCU